UUCUCUGGUGUUGAAGGCCCUGCAAAGCAGCAUCGCGGUGGCGGAGCGUCGUUUGCGACGCCCAACACACAAAACAAGCGGUGAGUGCUUUGGGGUGGGGUGACUGCGUACCUUUUGUAUAAUGGGUCAGCGACUUAUAUUCUGUAGCAAGGUUAACCGAAUAGGGGAGCCGGAGGGAAACCGAGUCUUAACCGGGCGUUAAGUUGCAGGGUAUAGACCCGAAACCCGGUGAUCUAGCCAUGGGCAGGUUGAAGGUUGGGUAACACUAACUGGAGGACCGAACCGACUAAUGUUGAAAAAUUAGCGGAUGACCUGUGGCUGGGGGUGAAAGGCCAAUCAAACCGGGAGAUAGCUGGUUCUCCCCGAAAGCUAUUUAGGUAGCGCCUCGUGAAUUCAUCUCCGGGGGUAGAGCACUGUUUCGGCUAGGGGGCCAUCCCGGCUUACCAACCCGAUGCAAACUGCGAAUACCGGAGAAUGUUAUCACGGGAGACACACGGCGGGUGCUAACGUCCGUCGUGAAGAGGGAAACAACCCAGACCGCCAGCUAAGGUCCCAAAGUCAUGGUUAAGUGGGAAACGAUGUGGGAAGGCCCAGACAGCCAGGAUGUUGGCUUAGAAGCAGCCAUCAUUUAAAGAAAGCGUAAUAGCUCACUGGUCGAGUCGGCCUGCGCGGAAGAUGUAACGGGGCUAAACCAU
rnacentral:rRNA from 1 species